rnacentral:rRNA from 1 species
UACGAAGGGAGCUAGCGUUGUUCGGAAUCACUGGGCGUAAAGCGCACGUAGGCGGAUUGCUAAGUCAGGGGUGAAAUCCCGGGGCUCAACCUCGGAACUGCCUUUGAUACUGACAAUCUAGAGUCCGAUAGAGGUGGGUGGAAUUCCUAGUGUAGAGGUGAAAUUCGUAGAUAUUAGGAAGAACACCGGUGGCGAAGGCGGCCCACUGGAUCGGUACUGACGCUGAGGUGCGAAAGCGUGGGGAGCAAACAGG